AUGUCUAAUUCUAAUUACAGAGCUCAAAUGUCGCAGGAAGUUCGCAAACCACCAUGAAGGAUGGAAAUAUUCCUUCUUGCAGCACCGAGAAUCGAACAAAAAAUAUAUUUGGCCUGGAAGUCAUUGAUACAGAAAUAACGCUUCUGUCAACGGAGAUAAUUGGUUCCCCCGCCCACGAACCAGAGUCUUAGAGUGUUGUACAUGCAGAAAACGAUUAUUUCACCAGACACCCACUGAUGCGCUUAUUCCUUUGUGGAGCAUGUUGCUGCCCAAAAAAAGAGAAAACCAAGAGAACCGAGAAAGUUGGACUGUGCCAGAGAAUAAGGAAAUUUUUCCGCAGGAAUUGAAUGAACUUACCUAAUUGUUUGAUAUAUCUGAAAAGAAGAAGCUAUAA